GGUAUCAAUAAGGGUAGCAAUUGCGGUUAUCACAUUGUUUACUCAGGGACAGUGGCUGGUGCGCGAGAGGCUUUCUUCAAUGGUGUUCCUUCUGUCUCAUUGUCAUAUGAAUGGAUUGCUGGAAAAAGCAAGGAUGAUGAUUUCGUAUUGGCCGCUGAAGCUUGCAUGCCAAUCAUUACAGCUAUAUCAACUGAGAUCAAGAAUAAUACUUAUCCUCAAAAUUGCUUUCUUAACAUAGACGUACCAGCCGAUGUUGCCAAUUGCAAGGGUUAUCGUCUGACGAAGCAAGGCAAGACUAUUUUCAAAAUGGGAUGGAGGCAAGUUGUUUCAGAAGCAGAAGGAGGAAGAAUGUUAUCCACAAUGACAAUGGAUUCAUCAGCUAGUAAAGAGGCAUCUGUGGAAGAGAGCACCUUAAGCACAGAAAAAGAACACCUAAUAUUUAAGAGAGAAGUUAGGGGAAUACACAUGGAUGAAGGUGAUAAUGAUUACUCUUUCCUUCGACAAGGAUAUAUAACUGUUACACCCCUUGGCACCUUAUCUCCUCCACCGAUGGAUGGAGUUGAAUUCUUCGAAGGAUGGCUGCCCGGUGUGCACUAGCGUGUCUCUUCGUCUGCUUAAUAUUUGCUCGGAGGAUGCUGCUAUAACAAGGCAGUUGCAGCUGAUCAGUCCAUACAUUACAUAAGUCUUGCAAAUGCUUUUCAUUCUUAUCUCUAUUGUCCUUCCGCAGUUAAAUGUUUGUUCUUGUACUCCAAAUUUAUGAGACCAUAAUGAACUAGUAGUAAUUUUUCUUCGAUGCCAUUUCUAGUGUAACUGCACUCCCAGAUCAAG
rnacentral:misc_RNA from 1 species